rnacentral:rRNA from 1 species
AUGCGCUAUCUGCUUGAAGACGUCCCGCCCUCCGGCUGGCAGGCCACCGGCAGCAGCCUUGUGCGGGCCGCCCUGCGGCUCAGUGCCUUGACCCACUUUGUUGCAAGGGAACUACGCUCUUGUUGCAAAGGUCUCUUGUUCGUCUAUUCGAUCAAGGCACCCUUACUAAAGAAUCUCUAUCUCAUCAAGUGUUAUUUCGUCUCAAAGGAAGUAUUUGCAAAGGUUAUGCACAAGUUCCCUCUCCUCGAAGAGCUCGAGCUUUCGAUGUGGUUAGGUGGCACGGAAAUGCUCGAGAUCGAUGCUGAAGCCUGCCCACGCCUGAAGCACUUCAGUCUCAUAAAAAAAGAUCGUUUUUACGAACUUGAGGACGAUGGUAAUGCUUUUGCGAUUGCGAAGAUGCACGGGCUACGUUCCUUGUAUCUCGACGGCAACAGACUCACCAACAAAGGGCUGGCAGUGAUCCUUGAUGGCUGCCCCCACCUAGAGCACCUUAACAUUUUUGAAUGUAAGUAUCUCAGGAUGGAUGAUGACCUGCUGGAGAAAUGUUCUCGAGUCAACAUGGAUGGCCCUCGGUACUCUUUGCCAUAUGUGCCUUGCAGUUGCUGUUGGAGUCCUGACUAUUCGGAUCACGAGGAUUACGAGGAUUACCGUGAGGCUUGUUACUACUACCUCGGUGACCACUUUGACGACGAUGAUCUAGCAGAACACGAGAGGAUUCUUGAUAUCAAGAACAUGCGGAGGUACUUG